rnacentral:rRNA from 1 species
GACGAACGCUGGCGGCGUGCUUAACACAUGCAAGUUGAACGGAAAGGCCCUUCGGGGUACUCGAGUGGCGAACGGGUGAGUAACACGUGGGUGAUCUGCCCUGCACUUUGGGAUAAGCCUGGGAAACUGGGUCUAAUACCGAAUAGGACCACGCGCUUCAUGGUGUGUGGUGGAAAGCUUUUGCGGUGUGGGAUGGGCCCGCGGCCUAUCAGCUUGUUGGUGGGGUAAUGGCCUACCAAGGCGACGACGGGUAGCCGGCCUGAGAGGGUGACCGGCCACACUGGGACUGAGAUACGGCCCAGACUCCUACGGGAGGCAGCAGUGGGGAAUAUUGCACAAUGGGCGCAAGCCUGAUGCAGCGACGCCGCGUGAGGGAUGACGGCCUUCGGGUUGUAAACCUCUUUCAAUAGGGACGAAGCGCAAGUGACGGUACCUAUAGAAGAAGCACCGGCCAACUACGUG